UAGGGAAUCUUCGGCAAUGGACGAAAGUCUGACCGAGCAACGCCGCGUGAGUGAAGAAGGUUUUCGGAUCGUAAAACUCUGUUGUUAGAGAAGAACAAGGACGUUAGUAACUGAACGUCCCCUGACGGUAUCUAACCAGAAAGCCACGGCUAACUACGUGCCAGCAGCCGCGGUAAUACGUAGGUGGCAAGCGUUGUCCGGAUUUAUUGGGCGUAAAGCGAGCGCAGGCGGUUUCUUAAGUCUGAUGUGAAAGCCCCCGGCUCAACCGGGGAGGGUCAUUGGAAGCUGGGAGACUUGAGUGCAGAAGAGGAGGGUGGAAUUCCGUGUGUAGCGGUGAAAUGCGUAGAUAUAUGGAGGAACACCAGUGGCGAAGGCGGCUCUCUGGUCUGUAACUGACGCUGAGGCUCGAAAGCGUGGGGAGCAAACAGG
rnacentral:rRNA from 1 species